GAUGAACGCUGGCGGCGUGCCUAAUACAUGCAAGUCGAGCGAACAGAUAAGGAGCUUGCUCCUUUGACGUUAGCGGCGGACGGGUGAGUAACACGUGGGUAACCUACCUAUAAGACUGGAAUAACUCCGGGAAACCGGGGCUAAUGCCGGAUAACAUUUAGAACCGCAUGGUUCUAAAGUGAAAGAUGGUUUUGCUAUCACUUAUAGAUGGACCCGCGCCGUAUUAGCUAGUUGGUAAGGUAACGGCUUACCAAGGCAACGAUACGUAGCCGACCUGAGAGGGUGAUCGGCCACACUGGAACUGAGACACGGUCCAGACUCCUAAGGGAGGCAGCAGUAGGGAAUCUUCCGCAAUGGGCGAAAGCCUGACGGAGCAACGCCGCGUGAGUGAUGAAGGUCUUCGGAUCGUAAAACUCUGUUAUUAGGGAAGAACAAAUGUGUAAGUAACUGUGCACGUCUUGACGGUACCUAAUCAGAAGGCCACGGCUAACUACGUG
rnacentral:rRNA from 1 species